UUUGACUAAUAUAAAAGGUAACGCCUGCCCAGUGACUGCUCGUUAAACGGCCGCGGUACUCUGACCGUGCAAAGGUAGCGUAAUCACUUGUCUUUUAAAUAAAGACUAGUAUGAAUGGCAUCACGAGAACUAAUCUGUCUCCCUCCCCCAAUCAGUGAAACUGAUCUCCCCGUGCAGAAGCGGGGAUAAUACCAUAAGACGAGAAGACCCUGUGGAGCUUUAAAUCAAAAAUCAACUGCUAUACCUUACCCCUGAGGACACACUUCUAUAGACUUGACUUAGAUUUUUAGCUGGGGCGGCUGUGGAGAAAAGAGAAUCCUCCACGAAAUUCUACUCCAAGGGCUACUGCCCUAAGUAAUAAUAAAUUAAUUUAAUUGACCCAAUUUUUGAUCAACGAACCA
rnacentral:rRNA from 1 species